rnacentral:rRNA from 1 species
UACAGAGGGUGCGAGCGUUAAUCGGAAUUACUGGGCGUAAAGCGCGCGUAGACGGUUUUGUAAGUCAGAUGUGAAAUCCCUGGGCUCAACCUGGGAACUGCAUUUGAGACUGCAUGGCUAGAGUAUCGAAGAGGGAAGUGAAAUUUCCGGUGUAGCGGUGAAAUGCGUAGAUAUCGGAAGGAACACCAGUGGCGAAAGCGACUUCCUGGUCGAAUACUGACGUUCAUGUGCGAAAGCGUGGGGAGCAAACAGG